rnacentral:rRNA from 1 species
CUCAGGAUGAACGCUGGCGGCGUGCCUAAUACAUGCAAGUCGAACGAGUUCUGAUUAUUGAAGGGUGCUUGCAUCUUGAUUUAAUUUUGAACGAGUGGCGGACGGGUGAGUAACACGUGGGUAACCUGCCCUUAAGUGGGGGAUAACAUUUGGAAACAGAUGCUAAUACCGCAUAAAUCCAAGAACCGCAUGGUUCUUGGCUGAAAGAUGGCGUAAGCUAUCGCUUUUGGAUGGACCCGCGGCGUAUUAGCUAGUUGGUGAGGUAACGGCUCACCAAGGCAAUGAUACGUAGCCGAACUGAGAGGUUGAUCGGCCACAUUGGGACUGAGACACGGCCCAAACUCCUACGGGAGGCAGCAGUAGGGAAUCUUCCACAAUGGACGCAAGUCUGAUGGAGCAACGCCGCGUGAGUGAAGAAGGCUUUCGGGUCGUAAAACUCUGUUGUUGGAGAAGAAUGGUCGGCAGAGUAACUGUUGCCGGCGUGACGGUAUCCAACCAGAAAGCCACGGCUAACUACGUGCCAGCAGCCGCGGUAAUACGUAGGUGGCAAGCGUUAUCCGGAUUUAUUGGGCGUAAAGCGAGCGCAGGCGGUUUUUUAAGUCUGAUGUGAAAGCCCUCGGCUUAACCGAGGAAGUGCAUCGGAAACUGGGAAACUUGAGUGCAGAAGAGGACAGUGGAACUCCAUGUGUAGCGGUGAAAUGCGUAGAUAUAUGGAAGAACACCAGUGGCGAAGGCGGCUGUCUGGUCUGUAACUGACGC